rnacentral:snRNA from 1 species
GUGCUUGCUAUGGCAGCACAUAUACUAAAAUUGGAACCAUACAGAGAAGAUUAGCAUGGCCCCUGCAAAAAGAAAAAAAAAAAAAACACCGGUUAUU